UGUAUUACUAAAUUUGAAGCAUAUAAAGAUGGAGUGGAGUUAUUGGUUAGCAAGUUGAUGGAGGUUGAAAAGGAAGUCAAUGUCUUGAAGGAAAUAUUUGCAAAACGGAAGCUUGCAAAGAUGUCAGAAUGCCCUCCAGCUGAAGAAUGAGCUACAAGUCUAUUUAAAGUGUGUGGAAAUUUAGGUGAAUGACAGCUAUCUAUGUAAGUUGAAUGGCACAACUCUUUCUGUGUUUGAAACUAGAAGCUCAAAUUUAUGUUAAUUGCUGACAGUUCUCUUACUUCUGAUAUGUUAUCUGUUUGAUCAAUAUUUUU
rnacentral:misc_RNA from 1 species